GCGGAGGAAAAGAAACUAACAAGGAUUCCCCUAGUAACUGCGAGUGAAGCGGGAAAAGCUCAAAUUUGAAAUCUGGCAGCCAUGAGGUUGUCCGAGUUGUAAUCUAGAGAAGUGUCAUCCGCGUUGGACCAUGUACAAGUCUCCUGGAAUGGAGCAUCAUGGAGGGUGACAAUCCCGUCUUUGACAUGGACUACCAAUGCUUUGUGAUGCACUCUCGAAGAGUCGAGUUGUUUGGGAAUGCAGCUCCAAAUGGGUGGUAAAUUCCAUCUAAAGCUAAAUAUUGGCGAGAGACCGAUAGCGAACAAGUACCGUGAGGGAAAGAUGAAAAGGACUUUGGAAAGAGAGUUAAACAGUACGUGAAAUUGCUGAAAGGGAAACGCUUAAAGUCAGUUGCAUUGACUGGGAAUCAGCCCUGCAUCCUUUUGGUAUGCUGGGUGUACUUUCCAGUUGAUGGGUCAGCAUCAGUUUUGAACAUUGGAUAAAGGUAUGAGGAAUGUGGCAUUUAUUUAUAAAUGUGUUAUAGCCUCAUAUUGUAUGCAAUGGUUGGGACUGAGGAACACAGCACGCCGAAAGGCCAGAGAGUUAUCUCAUGUUCGUGCUUAGGAUGGCUGGCAAAAUGGCUUUAAUCGACCCGUCUUGAAACACGGACCAAGGAGUCUAACAUGCCUGCGAGUAUUUGGGUGGAAAACCCAUAUGCGCAAUGAAAGUGAAAGUUGAGAUCCCUGCCGGGAGCAUCGACACCAGACUUGACG
rnacentral:rRNA from 1 species